GCAGUCGACGAUGAGCCCAGCUUGCUGGGUGGAUUAGUGGCGAACGGGUGAGUAACACGUGAGUAACCUGCCCCCGACUCUGGGAUAAGCCCGGGAAACUGGGUCUAAUACCGGAUAUGACCUCGCACCGCAUGGUGCGGGGUGGAAAGAUUUAUCGGUGGGGGAUGGACUCGCGGCCUAUCAGCUUGUUGGUGAGGUAAUGGCUCACCAAGGCGACGACGGGUAGCCGGCCUGAGAGGGUGACCGGCCACACUGGGACUGAGACACGGCCCAGACUCCUACGGGAGGCAGCAGUGGGGAAUAUUGCACAAUGGGCGCAAGCCUGAUGCAGCGACGCCGCGUGAGGGAUGACGGCCUUCGGGUUGUAAACCUCUUUCAGUAGGGAAGAAGCGAAAGUGACGGUACCUGCAGAAGAAGCGCCGGCUAACUACGUGCCAGCAGCCGCGGUAAUACGUAGGGCGCAAGCGUUAUCCGGAUUUAUUGGGCGUAAAGAGCUCGUAGGCGGUUUGUCGCGUCUGCCGUGAAAGUCCGAGGCUCAACCUCGGAUCUGCGGUGGGUACGGGCAGACUAGAGUGAUGUAGGGGAGACUGGAAUUCCUGGUGUAGCGGUGAAAAUGCGCAGAUAUCAGAGGAACACCCGAUGGCGAAAGCAGGUCUCUGGGCAUUUACUGACGCUGAGGAGCGAAAGCAUGGGGAGCGAACAGGAUUAGAUACCCUGGUAGUCCAUGCCGUAAACGUUGGGCACUAGGUGUGGGGGACAUUCCACGUUUUCCGCGCCGUAGCUAACGCAUUAAGUGCCCCGCCUGGGGAGUACGGCCGCAAGGCUAAAACUCAAAGGAAUUGACGGGGGCCCGCACAAGCGGCGGAGCAUGCGGAUUAAUUCGAUGCAACGCGAAGAACCUUACCAAGGCUUGACAUGUGCCAGACCGCUCCAGAGAUGGGGUUUCCCUUCGGGGCUGGUUCACAGGUGGUGCAUGGUUGUCGUCAGCUCGUGUCGUGAGAUGUUGGGUUAAGUCCCGCAACGAGCGCAACCCUCGUUCCAUGUUGCCAGCACGUAGUGGUGGGGACUCAUGGGAGACUGCCGGGGUCAACUCGGAGGAAGGUGGGGAUGACGUCAAAUCAUCAUGCCCCUUAUGUCUUGGGCUUCACGCAUGCUACAAUGGCCGGUACAAUGGGUUGCGAUACUGUGAGGUGGAGCUAAUCCCUAAAAGCCGGUCUCAGUUCGGAUUGGGGUCUGCAACUCGACCCCAUGAAGUCGGAGUCGCUAGUAAUCGCAGAUCAGCAACGCUGCGGUGAAUACGUUCCCGGGCCUUGUACACACCGCCCGUCAAGUCACGAAAGUUGGUAACACCCGAAGCCGAUGGCCUAACCACCUUGUGUG
rnacentral:rRNA from 2 species